rfam:Ictidomys tridecemlineatus contig106046, whole genome shotgun sequence.
GGAGUUGUAGCUCAGUGGUAGAGCACUUGCCUAGCAUAUAUCAGGCAAUGUUUUGGAUCCUCAGCUCCA